rnacentral:rRNA from 1 species
CAGCCGCCGCGGUAAUACCGAGGGUGCGAGCGUUAAUCGGAUUUACUGGGCGUAAAGCGUGCGUAGGCGGCUUCUUAAGUCGGAUGUGAAAUCCCUGAGCUUAACUUAGGAAUUGCAUUCGAUACUGGGAAGCUAGAGUAUGGGAGAGGAUGGUAGAAUUCCAGGUGUAGCGGUGAAAUGCGUAGAGAUCUGGAGGAAUACCGAUGGCGAAGGCAGCCAUCUGGCCUAAUACUGACGCUGAGGUACGAAAGCAUGGGGAGCAAACAGGAUUAGAUACCCCUGUAGUCCCUGUCUCUUAUAC